GACAGAGGGGGCAAGCGUUGCUCGGAAUCACUGGGCGUAAAGAGCGUGUAGGCGGCCACGCAGGUCCGUUGUGAAAACUGGAGGCUCAACCUCCAGCUGUCGACGGAAACCGUGUGGCUAGAGUCCGGAAGAGGAGAGUGGAAUUCCUGGUGUAGCGGUGAAAUGCGCAGAUAUCAGGAAGAACACCAAUGGCGAAGGCAGCUCUCUGGGACGGUACUGACGCUGAGACGCGAAAGCGUGGGGAGCGAACAGG
rnacentral:rRNA from 1 species